rnacentral:lncRNA from 1 species
GAACGUUCGAUUUUCACGAGUCGCCAUUUUAAUUAAAUUAAACGAAACUAAGAUUCCGUAAUUUGUAUUAGUUCAUCAUGUGACGUAUUAAAGUUCAAUCCGUCAUCAAGGUCGAUCGGUACUAUCCGUCCGAUCAGUCCGAUCAGUCAAUUACUUUUACUAUAAGUCUGACGGAUUGCUGACGUGAGUUUGACGCGAACUUGACUGAUCGGUGACUGAUCGAUGACCGCUGAUUGAUCGCUGAAAUAGUAACGCCUAAGGUUGCAAGUACUGUAAUU